rnacentral:rRNA from 1 species
UACGGGAGGCAGCAGUGGGGAAUAUUGCACAAUGGAGGAAAGCUCUGAUGCAGCNAUGCCGCGUGAGGGAAGAAGGUUUUAGGAUUGUAAACCUCUGUUGUCAGGGAACGAUAAUGACGGUACCCUGUUGAGGAAGCUCCGGCUAACUNCGUGCCAGCAGCCGCGGUAA